rnacentral:lncRNA from 1 species
UUGUUUUGAGAGGAUUAAUAUUCAACAGCAUAGUGAAUUGCUCUACAGAAAACAAAAAUUUUAAGUUCAUUAGAACACAUUCAUUCUGUGUCAGAAACCUAUGCUGUGUCAACUAUUUAAUCACAAUCCAAAUUUAGAGCUGAACCCAGCUUGAAUGUUGUGUCCAUACUUGCCCCAACCGUUCAGGGUUCAACCUCUGCGGUCGUAUAAAGCUACGCCCUGCGGAGCAUCUGGUUUUAAUG